UCCCUGGUGGCUCAGACGGUAAAGCGUCUGCCUAUAAUGUGGGAGACCCGGGUUUGAUCCCUGGUUCGGGAA
rnacentral:tRNA from 1 species